rnacentral:rRNA from 1 species
UACGUAGGGUGCGAGCGUUAAUCGGAAUUACUGGGCGUAAAGCGUGCGCAGGCGGUGAUGUAAGACAGUUGUGAAAUCCCCGGGCUCAACCUGGGAAUUGCAUCUGUGACUGCAUCGCUAGAGUACGGUAGAGGGGGAUGGAAUUCCGCGUGUAGCAGUGAAAUGCGUAGAUAUGCGAAGGAACACCGAUGGCGAAGGCAAUCCCCUGGACCUGUACUGACGCUCAUGCACGAAAGCGUGGGGAGCAAACAGG